AUCCCGCCUCCCGGCUGUCCUGACUGGUCACGUUGGUGAAGGUCAAAGGUCAGUCUGAGCUGAACGUAGAAGAAGACGUUGGACGUUGAAGAAGACGUAGGAGACGUAGAAGACGUAGAACUGGUCAGCAGAGACUUCAGUGGAGAUCUUGUAGCCAACAGAGGAGAUUUCAGAGACUUGAGGAGAUUUCAGAGAUUCCAGACAAAGAGACUUUUCUGGUGCUGGAUGGCAAGCCCAGCCCAGUCCAUAAAGAUACCGAGCCAGCUGCAGUUAGCUGGCUGUGAAGCAAGCUAACACGCUCUUGUAUUCUACACCUGCAUCAAGUGCGGUAGGAUUGAACCAUACACACACAUACAGCUCCGGAGACAUCAUACACAACUUGCUUCAUGUUGUUCCUGCAGUGGAACUGGAGUUUGAACUGUGGCUCUUACAAAACCCUUCAAACUAUACCUGGGUCUUUAUUCCCUAUUUAAAGUUGACACUGUUUGUUAUUUUAGUUUAUUAUUUUCUAACAGCGUGUAUUGUGUACAUAUUGUACACAAAUGUGCUUAUUAACGCAAUCUAACUGUUUAAUACAUUCAGUUAAAAUUA